CUGGGGCAGAGCUGCCCUGACUGGUGUUUGGAGGGUGAGUAAAUCAAACAAACCUCACCCUUCCAGAACCAGCCAGGACCCAGCCUCUGACCUAUCCAGGCUCUCAUCACUCUCUUGCCACCUGGUUAGAAUUUGCCCUUUUCUACAAUGCUUACCCAUGCUUCUUUCCAUGGCUUUAUCUCAUAGCUUGCUUUUUUGUUUUUAUAUCACCCUCAUUUUCUAAUAUACCCAUCCCCAUCACUUCCAAAGUAAGCUAUUCCUUAGUACAAAGAAUUAGGAAAGAAAUGGAGGAAGGCACUUCAGUAAAAACCAACCAAUACAUCCACCAAAUCAGCCUUCAUGUGUAAUAUUUCACAUUCAGACCAUCUACAUCUACACUCAGGCUGUAGCUUCUCUACCUUAGCUCAAUAUAUUAGGAUUAAAGACUUGUCAUUUUUCUGAAGGUCUCAUCUGUGUAUUUAUAUCACGAACCUUAUUCACAACUUUGGAAAUAUUUUGAUUGUAUAUCACCAUCAUUGCCACAUGUAGUUUACCUCAUUAUCCCCUAUCUAGAGGCCACCCCUCAGAACAGAAAUGCAGAGAAGUAUUGGAAGGCAAACAACACAUCAACUAAAUUUGAUUAUAUUUGCCAUAUUCCACAUCCAUAGUCCCUCACCUCUGCAGAGCAUGGAAAGUACAUUUUUUUCCACUUUUCUUUAGAACAAAAUUCUUGGUGAUUAUCAAUAAGAUGCUUUCACUUUUCCUUUUCAGCACUUUCCACUCACAUUUUUGGAGUAAUCAUUAAUAUUUUUUUCUGACUUUCCUCGGCAUUUGUUCAUAUUAGUCUUCCCCUUCCUUCUUUGUCCUUUUUUGGCAUUCUUUCUUCCAUUACAUGAAUCAUCCUUCAUUCGUGUAUCACAACAUAUUGAGCCCCAGCAAUCAAUGUCCCUUUUGCCUGCUUCUUGACACUAAAUCACUAGACAAAAAUUAGAUUUUUUUAUUUCCAUGUUCCCUCAGGUUCUCCAUGAACACAAGAAAUUUCCUAUAAUAAAAUGCCCUGAAGCAGUGCUGCCCUGACUAAAACUGGGAAGGGAAGUUCAUCAAGGAAGUUUCAUUUCUUUAGAAUUAGCCAAACUCUGACCCAUCCAAUUUCUAGCAUCUACAUUUGAGCAACAGCAUAUUUUACCUACUUCUCACACAUUUGCCCUACUGUUAUUUAUAUUAGUGUUUAAAACUGCAAUAUCUUUUGUUUUGACAUCACCUUCAUUUCCAAGUUCAUGACUCCUCAUCCCCUUCCUGGAUAGUCACCCUUUAUAUGAUAGAAUGAAACAAAGAAUGCAAAAAAAGUAUAUUAUUUCAGCAUAACUAACCCACACAUAAGCUGUUUCUGACCUUUUAGGCAAUACUUCACGCCCAAGGUCCAGGUGCUCUAUUUCCAAAAGAAACAGGUGUAUUUUCUCAAUUCUGCUCCAGGACAAAGAUCCUUGGUCAUCUUAAUUUUAAUAGUGCACUUUUAGUUUUUGUUGUUUUCUGUUGAUGUUUUUGAAAUCAUUUUAUAUACUCUUUUCCUCUCUUCAUGACCAUCUCUAUCAGUCUUCCCAUGCUUCUUUCUCCAUCCUUCCUGAGCUUCCUUUCUUACAUCACAGGAAUCAUAGACUUCAUUUUGGUGUACCACAGUAUGUUGAGGCACCCUCCAUUCUAUGUUCCCUUCUCAUACUCCUUGAUACUUGGAUCAAAAAUAGAGCUGCUAUAGAGUUCAUAGCCAAUUUACUUUGGAGAUUAUUGAUUCCCCAUUUGGAGCUGGCUCUGAGGCAGAGCUGCCAUGGCUGAUGUUUGGAGGGUGAGUAAAUCAAAUAAGCCUCACCCCUCCCAGUACAGCCAGGAUCUAGACUCUGACCCAUCCAGUCUCCAGAACCUAUUUCUGACCAUCAGCUAAAACCCGGGAUUCUCCCUUUACUCUGAUUCCUCACUUCAUGUUUCUUGACAACAAAUCACUGGACCGAAAGUGGAGACCCUUCAGAGUCCAUAGCCUCUCCCAUUCAUAACCAUUUGGAGCUGGCUCUGGGGCAGAGCUGCCUUGGCUGAUGUUUGGAGGGUGAGUAAAAUAAGCAAACCUCACCCCUCUGUAACACAGCAAGCAACAGACUCAAACCCAUCCAGUCUCUCAACCUUCCCUCUGACACACAGGCAAGGACCAGGCCUCUGUUAUCCACUCUGCCAACAAACCUGCCACUUGAAUCCAGGACAACGGACCAGGACCAGAGACCCUCCACAUUCUCUGCCCCCCUCUCCCAACCCAGCAUGAGAUAGGCUACUCCUCGCUGGAAAUGGCUCUGGGGAAGAGCUGCCCUGGCUGAUGUUUGGAGGGUGAGUAAAUCAAGCAAGCCUCACCCUUCCAGAACCAGCCAGGUCCCAGACUCUGACCCAUCCAAGCUCAUCGCUCUCACUCACCAACUUGCUUUUUUCUACACUGUCACACUUGCUUCUUUCUAUUACUUUAUCUGUACAAUUUUCAUCAUGGUUUUUGUUUUGACAUUAUUCUGAUUUCCAAAUAUAUCCUUUCCCAUCCUCUCCAUAGCAGGCCAUCCCUUAGUACAAAGAAUGAGUAAAGAAAUGGAGGAAGGCAGUUCAGCAAAACCAACUGACACAUCCACCAAGUCAGUUUGCAUGUGCAAUAUUUCAUACUCAUUAACCCUCACAUCUACAUAAAAGGGAUAGAGUUGAUUUUUCAACAAGUUUCCAGGAACAAAGUACUUUGUGAUUACAAUGACAGUGCCCUCACUUUUAUGUUGAGGGAAUUUCCCUGGAGCGUGUGGUGGCCACUGAGUAUGCUAUUUUCCUGGUUCUCCCUCCUUCCCUCUGCAUCAGCUCCUAAGAGUCUUGCCACGCUUCUUCUCUGAAUCUUUCUUCUUAGAUGGAUCCAAUUGAUUAUGGCAGCAUACUUUGUCAGUCAUGCCCUAAAUAGAUGUCCUGUCCACCCCUUCUUUUUUAAAAUAAAUUUGAUUUUCACAAAGAUUGACCUUCUGUCUUUCUCCCACCGAGAAAGCAAAAAACCUAAAAGCUCCAUUACAAACAUGUACAAUCAAGCCAAACAAAUUCCUGCCCUGGCCAUGUCCCAAAAAUAUGUCUCAGUCUGCACUCUGAGUCCAUCUCUCUGUCAGGAAGUGAGUAGCACAUUUCAUCACGAGUCCUCCGGAUUUGUGGUUGAUCACUGUGUUGAUCAGUUAGCAAAUCUUUCAGAGCUGUCUCUAUAAUAUUGUUGUUAUUGCAGAAAUUGUACUCCUGGUUCAGCUCACUUUACUUUGCAUCAGUUCAUACAAAUCUUCCCAGGUUUCUCUGAAACCAUCUCCAUCAUUUCUUACAGCACAGUAGUAUUCUAUCAUACUCAUAUACCAUAAGUUGUUCAGCCACUGCCCAUUUGAGUACCCCUUGGUUUCCAGUUCUUUGUCACCAGAAAAAGAGCUGCUAUAAAUAUUUUUGUACACAUGGAUUCUUUUCCACUUUAUCUCUUUGAGGCAUAGACCUUGUAGUGGUAUCAUGGCUGCUUUUUUUCUUGAUACUUGGCCACUGGACCCAAAAUAAAGUCCCUUCAGUGUCCUUGGCCCCCUUCUCCCAGAUGUAGGUAACCAAUUAACCAUAGGGUCCACAUUGAAGUUCAGAGGGUGAGUAAAUCUGAUAAACCUCACCUCUCCCAAUCCAGCCAGGCCCCAGAAUCUGACCUAGUCAGUCCCUUGAUCAUUACAAUAGGACCAAGGUCUCUCCAUUACCCUGAUGCCUUCCCAGCCUCUUGACAUCACGCCCCUGAACUUAAGAGAAAGUCCCUCCAGAGCCCAUGUUCCCCUCCCUUGUGGAGAUAACUAAAUCUCAAAAUGACUGGGUUCUUGCUUUAGCUGUGCUUCCUGAGGAUCUCAGAGUAAUUUAUGCAAUGAUACCUCUGUUCCCUACAACUAGCAGAGUCCAAACACUGAUUCAUGUGUAGCUGGCCCCCAUUUCUAAUCAUUUUACUAUAACCUAGAAUUGACUACUUUCUCUAAGGACUACUUACUUCUUGUUACCACCCCAUUGGACCAGAAGUAGAGACCCAUCAGAGUCCAUCAUAACUUCACUGGCCCUACCCCUUCCCUCACCCUUCUGAGUUAUAGAUUAAUAACACUCCAUUGGAGCUGGCCCAGGGGGAAGAGCUGACCUGAUUGAUGUAGCGAGGGUGAGAUAAUCACAGAGGCCUCUCAUUUCUCAACUUACAUUCGUGUACCGCAUGUGUUUAGCCACUCCCAGAUUGAAGUAUCAAUGAUCUCUUUCCAGUAAAUCUAAUAUUAUAAUCUCUUGGUCAAAGGAUAUAGACAUUUUAAUGACUUUAUUUUCAUGAUUACAAAUUGCAUUUUAAAGUAGUUGUACUGACUCACAACUCCACCACCAAUAUGCUAGCCUGCCUACCUUCCUGUAACACUUCCAACAUUGAUUGUUCCCAUCUUUUGUCAUCUUUGCUAAUUUUCAGGGUGUGAGUUGGAACCUCAAGCUUAUUUUGGUUUGCAUUUCUAUUAUUAGUGAUUUGGAUCAUUCUUUCAUAUGAUUGUAAAUAGUUUGUAAUUCUUUUGAGAAUUUUUUGCACCCUUUGUUGUAUUUAUUUAUUGGGGAAUGAUAUUUGGCUUUAUAUAUACAUAAAUAUCUUGUAAAUAUGUGUGUAUAUUACAUAUCUACAUAGAUGUUAGUUAUUUAUAUAUCUUGACUAACAAAUGCUUAUCUGGGAAUCAAAAGGUUUUUUAUUUAACCAUUUCCUUUCUUAUGCUAGAUGCAUAGGAAAUUUUUUGUUUCAUAUAAUCUAAGUGAUAUAUUUUAUUUUUGCAAUUGCCUCUAUUCCUUGUUUGGUUAAAAAAAAAAAAAAAAAAACCUACUACCCCUAGCUGUGAAUGCUAUAUCUGAUUUUCUUCCAAUUUUUUGUGGUAUGAUCUUUAAUAUUAGAGCCACAUAUCCAUUUAGAAUUUAUUUUGUAAUAUACUAUGGACAGUAUUAAUCUAAAAAUAAUUUCUGCCACACUGAUUUUUACUUUUCCUAGCACAUUUUUUUUCCAAAUAGAGGGAUUUAUUUCCUAAGUAAUUCAUGUUUUCUAAUUUAUCAAACUCUGGGUUUUUGAGUUUCAUUGUUUCUAAUUCUCCCUUGUUUAUUCUGUCCCAUUGAUCUACCUCUCUAUUUUUUAACCAAUUAUCAAAUAGUUUUGAUGACUGCUGUUUUAUAACAUAGUUUGAAAUUGGGACAUGUAAUUGCCCUUUCAUUUCUAAUUUUUAUCAUUUCCCUUGAUAUUCUAGUUUUUUAAUUUCCAAAUGAAUAUUAUUAUUUUAUCUAGUUCUGAUAAUUUGAUUGGUAUAGCAUUAAAACUAUAAAUUAACUUGGUAGUAUAGUCAUUUUUAUAAUUGAUAUACCCAGUCAUGAGCACUGAAUAUCCCUCCAACUAUUUAAGCUAUUUUUUAUUUCUUUCAGUAACACUUUAUAAGUGAAUCUAUUCAAGUAUUUUUGUGGUUUGGUAUAUUGAUCCCAACUCUCUUUGCAUUUUGUAGUUAUUUGGAAUGGUAUUUCCCUUUCUAUAUUGUCUUUUGGAUUUUGUUGUUAUUACCUAGAAAUGCUGUUAAUUUUAUGGAUUUAUUUUGUAGCCUGAAAUUUUGAUAAAGCUUUGUCUCAAUUAGUAUUUUGCUGAUUCCUUAAGAUUUUUUAAGUAAAUCAUCAUGUCAUCAUUAAAUAUGCAUAGUCCUAUCUCCAUUUUACAUUUGUAAUUUUUUUCUCUUGUAUUAAUGCUGAGGCUAGCAUUUCCAGAAACAUAUCAAACAAUAGAAAGGAAAGCAGCCAUCCUUGCUGCACUGCUAUAUUUACCAGAAAAAAUUCUAGUGUAUCCCCAUUGCAUAUGAUGUUUCCUUUUGUUUUCAAUUCCUUUUCAUGAUGUUACAAAAAGUCCUUCUAUGCCUCUGUUUUUUAGGAUUUUAGCAUAAAUAAGUUUUCCAUUUUAUUUAAGGCUUUUCCCAGAUCUAUUAAGAUGAUUGUGUGGUUCGAUGUGGUUUUAUUAUGUGAUUAAUUAUAUUUAUUAAUUCAUAAUGUUAAACUAGUCAUAUAUCUAGUAUAUGAAUCUAACUUGAUCAUAAUGAAUGUUUUCUUGGAUGUACUUAGAUGUGCUAUGAUAGGAUUUUGGUAAAGUUUUUGAGAUUGUAAUAAUUAGUGAUCUAUAGUUUUUGAAUGUACUUUGUCCUUCCCUGGUUUACAUGCUCCUUGAACUGAUUAUUGUCUGAGUUCUCUAUUGCAAUCUAUAAAUAAUGUUUAAUAUUUCUGUGUUUUUACAUUUGUUUGCAAUAUCUUAUGGUCUCAUACAUGGCCAAUUUCUGUAAAAGAUCCAUGUGCUUCUGAGAGAUAGCACUUCUAUUUAGAAGAUGACUUGAGACUUUUAGUUCUAGUUUUUCCUGCAAUUUGUUUCAUUCUAUAUUUCCUCUUCUUUGAUUUUUCUGUUAGAUUUGUCUGAAAUUGAAAGAGGAACAUUAAAAUCACCUGCAAUGACUGUAUUACUGUAUGUUUUCUUGCAAUUAAGUGCUUUUCUUUUAUGAAUUUAGAUGCUAAGGUAUUUGGAGCAUAUAAAUUUAAUAUUAACAUUGAUUUGUUGUUUAUGGUUUCUUUCACCACAAUUUAAUUCUCUUGUUUACCUCUUUUUAUGUUGUGAAUUUUUUAGUUUUGCUUGUUUAAUAGCAUGAUUGCAAAUUCUGGAAAGCAGGUACAUUUUCUCAGUUCUUCUCCAGGACCAUGGUCUUUGGUCAUUAUCAUUACAAUGCAUUCACUUUUUCUUUUCAUUUCUUUCCAUUCACAUUUUUGGAGAAAUCAUGUAUAACAUUUUUCUAACUUCCCUCUGCAUCAGUUCAUGUCAGUUUCCCCACGACUCCAUCUAUCUUACCUGGGCAUUCUUUCUUACAUCACAGAAAUCAUAAGCUUCAUUGAUGUACUACAGAACCACUCCCCAAUGUGCCUCUCCCCUGUUUUUUAUCACCUGGACCAAUACUAGGCACCCUCCAAAGUCCACGUUCCCCCAACCUCCAUAUAAAGAUGAUUAAUUCCCCCAUUGUAAAUGACCCUGUAGCAAGUCUGCCCCAAUAGAAGCUGAAAAAAAGAUUUCAUCAAGGAAGUCUCACUUAUCUAGAACUAGCCAAAUACAUAACCUGCUGCUUUCUAACAUCCAUAUUUAGUCAACAGCACAGGACUUGUUAUUUUCCCUACUGGUAACUUUGCUCUUUUAUAUAAUUUAAAAUAUUUCAAAUAUCUCGUUUUGAGGUCAUCUUCAUUGCCAAAAAUCACUCGCAAUUCCCUAAAUGGAGAAUGACAGUUUAUAUCAUUAAUUGAAAUAAGAAAUGCAAAAAAGCCACUUCAGCAAAACGCAUUCAUGACCAUUCGUGUAAGAUUCACAUACAAAAUCUAGGCAGUCUCUACCCCAAAGAAGGAGGUUCAUUUUCUCAACUCCUUUCCAAGAUCAAAAUUCUUGGUCAUCAAAAUUACAAGGCAUGCACUUUCACUUUUGGGAAUUUUCUAUGGGCAUUUUGGAAUCACUAUAUGUACUAUUUUUUCUUUCUUGUUGACCACCCCUCCAUAUCAGAUAUCAGACUUCCAUGCUUCUUUCUACCCUUCCUAAACAUACUACAUCAUAUUGAAGAAAUCAUGGUACCAUUGUGUGUUAAAUAUCUCCCUAUUUUAUAUGGUUGCCCUGUACUUCUUAACACCUGACCAUGGGACCAAAACUAGAUACCCUCUGGAGUGUAUUCCCUUUGGAGAUCAUUGAUUCUCCAUUGGAGCUGGCUCUGAGGCAGAGCUGCCAUGGCUGAUGUUUGGAGGGUGAGUAAAUCAAGCAAGCCUCACUCCUCCCAAUACAGCCAGGAUCUAGACUCUGACCCAUCCAGUCUCCAGGACCUACUUCUGAACACAAAGACAGAACCUGGGAUACUCCUUUUACCUCUCUUCCUCACCCAACCUCCCAUUUCUUGACGUCAGACCCCUGGAACAAAAGUAGAGACCCUCUAGAACCCAUGGUCCCCUCCCGUGUGUAGUUAAGUCCAUAACCAUUUGGAGCUGGCUCUGGGGCAGAGCUGCCCUGACUGGUGUUUAGAGGGUGAGUAAUAUAAGCAAACCUCACCCCUCUAUAACUCAGCAGGCAACAGACUCAAACCCAUCCAGUCUCUCAACUCCCUCUGACACACAGGCUAGGGCCUAGCCAUUGUUAUCCACCCUACCGACAGACCUGCCACUUGAAUCCAGGACGACGGACCAGGACCCUCCACUUUCCCAGCCUUCUCUCCCACCCCAGAGUGAUGAGAUGAUAGGCUACUCCUCGCCGGAACUGGCUCUGGGGAAGAGCUGCCCUGGUUGAUGUUUGGAGGGUGAGUAAAUCAAACAAACCUCACCCUUCCAGAACCAGCCAGGACCCAGCCUCUGACCUAUCCAGGUUCUCAUAACUCUCUCACCACCUGGUUAGAAUUUGCUCUUUUGUACAAUACCCACCCAUGCUUCUUUCCAUGGCUUUAUCUCAUAGCUUGCUUUUUUAUUUUUACGUCACCCUCAUUUUCAAAUAUACCCAUCCCCAUCACUUCCAAAGUAAGCUAACCCUUAGUACAAAGAAUUAGAAAAGAAAUGAAGGAAGGCACUUCAGUAAAAACCAACCAAUACAUCCACCAAAUCAGCCUGAAUGUGUAACAUUUCACAUUCAGACCAUCUACAUCUACAUUCCCAUCUACAUGGAAAGAACAGACGUGACUUUUCUCAAUUCUUCAAGAUCUUUGGUCAUUACAAAGACAAUGCAGUCACUUUCACUUUGGGGACUUUCCAUUGACAUGGUGGUUGUCAUUGGUUCUUCUUCCUUCCUUCUGUAUCAGUUCCUAAGAAUUUUCCCAUGUCUCUUCCCUGAAUCUUUCCUAUUCUUCCUGAAUUCCACUGUUGCCAUCAUGUAGUCAAUUCUGCAGCACAAGUUGCUUAAACUCAGUAGAUAUUCGGCCCUCCUGCUUCUUGACACCCGGCCACCAGAGCGAAAGUAGAGCAUCUGCAGACUCUUUGGACCCCCUCCUGCUUCUCCUGUCUGAAGUUAAUUAUCAAUCAUUGCCCCGGACAGAAUUGAUGGGGCUAGGAUUUAUAGGGUGAGUAAUCUUGGAAGCCUCACCUCUGUAGAAUUACUUUGACCCAUCUAGUCUCUCACCUCAUAAUGGUUAUCUGGGACUUACCCUUAUUUCUCUUGCCUCCCUUUCAUUUUUUUAAAUCUCCAUUUCCAGAUAAAAUCUUUCCGAUCCCUUCUCCACCAAUCCCUCCUGAAAAGAUAGAAUUGGAUCAGCAGUACUAAGAUUUCCUAUUCCCCUUCAUCUGCCUGCGUGGGUAGAGACACUCAUUAUAAAGAAGAAAUUGUAAGAGAAAUUUUUAUACUUUUUCUUUUCGGUUGUAUUCUCACUUCUAGGACCACCCUGAGUUUCAGAGGCACUGUAAUAUAACCCUUAUAAAACAACAUAGUUAAGAUUUAUACUGAGAUUGGAUAUAAGUGACUUCAUGAAUCCCUUACCUUUUGAGAUCCUUUUGAAUUAUCAUUCAGUUAACAAGCAUUUAUUAAGCAGAAAAGCAUGCCAUAAUAUCUUGGAACUCCUAUAGACAUCCCCUACCAAACAGGUCUUUAAUUGACAGAUGAGACCAUUAAUUAUGUUCAAAUACUAAUGAAAUAUAUUAAGUCUGUUCACCAUCAGGUAUCAGAAUUUCUUCCCCGAUCACCUGGCACCUUUUCCUUGCCACAACUUCCAACUGGUAGACUGGGCACAUCAGUGAGAAAAGUACCCUUCAAUCAUACUGGAAGAGUUCUUCCCAGAUCCUGUUGCCCAUCAACAUUGCCACCCGCCAUCAGACCACCAGACAUGGAGCUCUAAAUCACACUUCAAAAGAAAAUCAUCAUCCCCUGGAACCAAACACCUCUCUUCUUGUCCUGUGCUGCUGCUCCCAUUUGUGACCAAGGAGAAAGAACCUGAGAUUGGCUGCAUCAGCGUAUCUCCACACCACCCAGAAAUUCCACUCCCCGAUUGUUUGGCCAGCCAAAGACUCAAACUGGAAUGUGUUUCUCAGAUUCCCGGACUGGAUGAACUUGCCCUGGCUCCCCACCCCUUCCCCUGCAUACCCUCACCCAAAUGUUGCAUACCCAUGGCCACUGCCCUUUAGCUUUCCUCCCUCCCCCAGGUCCUUCAGUGUCCAACUCAAGCUAUCCGUCAUCCUGAGGCUGAUGACACCACCCAAUUGCUCCCCUUAAUUCCUGUUCUAAGAACCCCAAGACCCCUUUGUGAGCCCAGUGUUAAUUUUGAGAUACAAAAAAACCCUGUGAAAAGUGACCCCCAAAACCCUGUUGUCCUCUAGAAAUCUCUUUGCUCUUUGACCCACUUUAAUGCCCCCUUCAUAUCAUGGCUUGUAGCUAUGCCCAAAAUAAAACAUUUUACUGAUGUACCCUAAAUCAUAAGCAGUGAGUUUUCUUUCCACAAUACUACCAGGAGAUUACUUUAUAGAACUGGACUAGAGAAUGAUU
ensembl:lncRNA